rnacentral:rRNA from 1 species
AGCUUGCUCCCUGGGUGACGAGCGGCGGACGGGUGAGUAAUGUCUGGGAAACUGCCUGAUGGAGGGGGAUAACUACUGGAAACGGUAGCUAAUACCGCAUAACGUCGCAAGACCAAAGAGGGGGACCUUCGGGCCUCUUGCCAUCAGAUGUGCCCAGAUGGGAUUAGCUAGUAGGUGGGGUAAUGGCUCACCUAGGCGACGAUCCCUAGCUGGUCUGAGAGGAUGACCAGCCACACUGGAACUGAGACACGGUCCAGACUCCUACGGGAGGCAGCAGUGGGGAAUAUUGCACAAUGGGCGCAAGCCUGAUGCAGCCAUGCCGCGUGUGUGAAGAAGGCCUUCGGGUUGUAAAGCACUUUCAGCGAGGAGGAAGGUGAUGAGCUUAAUACGCUCAUCAAUUGACGUUACUCGCAGAAGAAGCACCGGCUAACUCCGUGCCAGCAGCCGCGGUAAUACGGAGGGUGCAAGCGUUAAUCGGAAUUACUGGGCGUAAAGCGCACGCAGGCGGUUUGUUAAGUCAGAUGUGAAAUCCCCGGGCUCAACCUGGGAACUGCAUUUGAAACUGGCAAGCUAGAGUCUCGUAGAGGGGGGUAGAAUUCCAGGUGUAGCGGUGAAAUGCGUAGAGAUCUGGAGGAAUACCGGUGGCGAAGGCGGCCCCCUGGACGAAGACUGACGCUCAGGUGCG